rnacentral:rRNA from 1 species
AUGCAAGUCGAGCGGUAACAGGGGUAGCUUGCUACCCGCUGACGAGCGGCGGACGGGUGAGUAAUGCAUAGGAAUCUGCCCGAUAGUGGGGGAUAACCUGGGGAAACCCAGGCUAAUACCGCAUACGUCCUACGGGAGAAAGGGGGCUCCGGCUCCCGCUAUUGGAUGAGCCUAUGUCGGAUUAGCUAGUUGGUGAGGUAAUGGCUCACCAAGGCAACGAUCCGUAGCUGGUCUGAGAGGAUGAUCAGCCACAUCGGGACUGAGACACGGCCCGAACUCCUACGGGAGGCAGCAGUGGGGAAUAUUGGACAAUGGGCGAAAGCCUGAUCCAGCCAUGCCGCGUGUGUGAAGAAGGCCUUCGGGUUGUAAAGCACUUUCAGCGAGGAAGAACGCCUAGUGGUUAAUACCCAUUAGGAAAGACAUCACUCGCAGAAGAAGCACCGGCUAACUCCGUGCCAGCAGCCGCGGUAAUACGGAGGGUGCAAGCGUUAAUCGGAAUUACUGGGCGUAAAGCGCGCGUAGGUGGCUUGAUAAGCCGGUUGUGAAAGCCCCGGGCUCAACCUGGGAACGGCAUCCGGAACUGUCAAGCUAGAGUGCAGGAGAGGAAGGUAGAAUUCCCGGUGUAGCGGUGAAAUGCGUAGAGAUCGGGAGGAAUACCAGUGGCGAAGGCGGCCUUCUGGACUGACACUGACACUGAGGUGCGAAAGCGUGGGUAGCAAACAGGAUUAGAUACCCUGGUAGUCCACGCCGUAAACGAUGUCGACCAGCCGUUGGGUGCCUAGCGCACUUUGUGGCGAAGUUAACGCGAUAAGUCGACCGCCUGGGGAGUACGGCCGCAAGGUUAAAACUCAAAUGAAUUGACGGGGGCCCGCACAAGCGGUGGAGCAUGUGGUUUAAUUCGAUGCAACGCGAAGAACCUUACCUACUCUUGACAUCCUGCGAACUUGUGAGAGAUCACUUGGUGCCUUCGGGAACGCAGAGACAGGUGCUGCAUGGCUGUCGUCAGCUCGUGUUGUGAAAUGUUGGGUUAAGUCCCGUAACGAGCGCAACCCUUGUCCUU